AGAUCUAUAACUCGUAAAACACUCGUGUGAAUCCGAAGGGAGUUUCAGUUGGGUCCAAGAUCCCCAUAGCAAUUUAUUGCAAACAGUUUUCGUUUCUUCUCGAUAUAGCAUUCGAUCCUAAAGAAAAUUAUUCGAAAAAAUUCAAAUUAUUUUAAAAUUUUCAUAGAAAUUUUUAUAUAAUUUAAAAAAAUUUAUCAACUUCUUAUCGCGAAAUGUAGACUUAUAUAUCACAUUUAUUUUUAACCGCUUCAAAAUUAAUUUUAAAUCAUUUAUUUUACAGUAUUGUUGCAAUAUUGUUUCUUGCGCAAUUUAAUAUAAAUUGCAAAUUGAUUCGAGAUAUGUAUGCAAACAAUUAUUUACAGAGAAGAAGUUCUAUGUUUCAAAAUUGUGACAUUGGCGACUCGAAGACCACAAGACCGAUCUAAUUGAUUAUUCAGACAAUUGUGCAAACGUCAGAUCGAUAAAUAAAUCAAGGUCGUUACUAUAUAAACCAAUUAAAAUGAAUCAUUUUCGAUUGUUUACGGGGUUAUUUCGUUUCUUAUCGUAAACGUUAUCGCAACGUGGAGAUAGAGCGCUAUUUAUCUCGACAAAUUUGAUAGUUCUGUAAUUGUCUGCAACUACUCUGUCAAGCGAGAACUUACCUUCUGUACAUGUAUUUUUAACAAAGAAAUCUUGUAGUGCAUCCCUUUCACAGAUAAUGAAAGCUUCAAAUUUUGUUACAUUUCUUGUGAUAGUCGCAUUCGUUGUUGGUUUCUGUCCAUGUUUAAUAUCAAGUGCCCCUUCUUCGGAUAACGGAUUCAGAAGUGAAUUGUGUAAAGUAUUAUGCAAUAAGAACCCACCAGAAGGAGGAAAUUAUUGUAAUUGCGAUCGACAUCCUUUGGGAUAGAUUAUCAAAGAGAAAAAAAGAAGAAAAUGAGAGAGAUGUAAACAUCAUUUUUUAAGAAAAUAUUUUAUCAUUUUUAAUGUGGAGUGUAACUUCCUAUCAUGCUAUUUAUCUCCCAUAGUUUGUAUUCAGUGCAUAUAUAUUCAUUUAUGUAAUAAUAAUGUUUAAAAAA
rnacentral:lncRNA from 1 species